rnacentral:lncRNA from 1 species
CUGGCAACACUAUAUUUUGUAACAGGUCUUCUGGCUCCAGUCUGUGUUCUGUGAAGGAUAUAGCAAUUAUAAUAUUCUUUUUUUUCCCACUGCACUUUGAGCAGAAUAUAUUCUUCUACCAUUUGCAGACUCAAUUGUCUCCUCCUGCCUUUUUAUGAACAAGGUAUCGAGAUUACCUGCCCAGCAACACUAUCUCCGUAUACAACCAAUCUCAAAGAAAUCUGGCUUACAGUUUUACUGGUCCCACCAUUGUGUGACUCAUCUGCCUGGAUCCCAAGUUCCCAAGGAAAAAUGUCUGCUUCUAGCUGAGGCCCUCUUUCCUCAGGAUAAGCUCUCAAUAAAAAACCCUGAAUUCUAGUCCCUUUCAAUGUAGAUUAUAAAUUGUCUUCAUUUUAGAAUUAUAUAUGUGCUAGAAUAAUAGUGGUAGUUUCAUACUUAUGAAACAUUUUCUACAUACCAGCUAUAGCUGAUUUAAUCCUCACAACAAAUCCAUGAGCUAGAUAUUGGUACUGUUAGUAUUCCCACUUGCAGAUAAGGAAAUUGAGGCACAGUGGAAAAGCUAAAUAACCUGAUUAUACUAAACUCGAUUUGAAUCUAGGCAACUGAGUUCUUGACCUAUAGACUAUUGUCUCUAAAUAUAUACAUUCCCAAACUUUUGAAAUAUUGGAAGAUUAAAAGAUAGUAUUUUUUCCUAUCUCUUCCAUAUUAUAAUGGAC